AAUACAACUUUUAACAACGGAUCUCUUGGCUCUCGCAUCGAUGAAGAACGCAGCGAAAUGCGAUAAGUAAUGUGAAUUGCAGAAUUCAGUGAAUCAUCGAAUCUUUGAACGCACCUUGCGCUCUCUGGUAUUCCGGGGAGCACACC
rnacentral:rRNA from 1 species